UUUUCCAAAAGAGAAGGGAGGAGGGCAGCGAAGACCAGCGCCAGACUGAAGAGCAGCAGCAGCAGCGGAGUCAGGCGUGGAAACUGAGCAAAGAGGUGGGAAUCGAAGACUGAAUGCAAAAACUAAGCCAAGGUAUAUUCACAAGGUCCUCUAAGCUGCACUGGUCUACGGGUCGACAAGACGAGAGCUGCAGGCCCGAGACUUAUACCAGGUUCACCCUCAUGCAUACUGUACGGUUAAAGUGACGCAACAAGCCCGCUUAAAUAGUCUACAUCACAAAAGCAAUUUGGUUUUAGUGCAAACACAAUUGGCUGGCUUCAGCUUCUCAAUAAUAACAAGCUCACCGAGGAGAUGACAAGAAGGCACGUACUUAUGCUUCCUCUGAACACGCAACACAUUUAGACAAACCGUGACAUCUUUCAACAACACCACAAAGCGGUGGGAACAGGAAAGCCACAACGUCCGGAUAAAGUGGGCGACGUUCGCUGCCGUGACUGCUCGAGGAUUUACACUUUUUGUCGACUGACGGAGUAAGGACGACGGGCCGAUGAUAACCAACCCCCCCCCCCCCCCGCUGCUGGGCCUGCUGGUAAUGACCUCGAUGGUUUAUGGCGCACUGUCGUGGACACAAAUUUCCUACAAAACCAGUGAUGUGUAUAUCUAAAAGUUGUAUCUGGAAUCGGGUACAUGUCUUAUUGUUUUCCAAGGCGACCCAGUAUGUCUGAGAACCACGACACAGCUGUUUGAAAAUGAAGAUGGACGAUUGUGCGCGGGGUUACGUUUUGGCAUCGUUGUGGUUUUAAAAGUGUGUUGUCGUUCACCGCUGGGGUCACGGGAUGUGGAAAACUCAACAGCGGAGUCUACGGGGAAGUGACUCCUCGCUCUCACACGUCCUUCGUCUCCCGCUUGCGAGGCUCGCGAGGGCGGUUUGAUUUGUCCAAAACAAUCACAGGAGGAAACAACAGUGUUAAUGCCCCUCAAAUCUGGACAGCGAUGCUAGAUAGAUAGGGGUGCUGCUGGGAAAGGAACAGCCGUCAACCACAAUACAAAUAAUCCUAAAUUCAUGUGCAUGUAAAAAGGCAACACACUCCAAUUCUGUACGUUUAACGAACAGAAAAAAAAAAUCCAAACGUUUCAAUAUCAGCAUUUGCUCAUCAUGAAAUCUGCCAAGAUACUGUGUCUCCAAACGUGUUGAGUGAUCUGAAUUAUAUUGCUUUUUGAAAAAAGACCAAAAUAAGUCUAGUGCAAAUCUCUUUUCUGGUUUGAGAAGUGGUGGUUGGCAUAAUGAGACUCAACAGCCGUGGCUACUUGACAGAGUGAGAAGAUACCAGUCGAUUUAGACCUGUUGGGCGGCUGUCGAGCUGUGUCCCUUUUAUCGAUUAACAACGUAGAGGGGAGCGGGGCUCCCGCUCGCGAGAAACGUGCGACAUGACUCUACGCAUUCAAUGACCAACGCAUGCAAAUAGGAAGUAAAAGGUAAUACAUGUUACUUGUGCAGCCCCCCCCCCCCCAUUGAGUGUUGAUUAUUCAACGGCAAGAAUGAGAUGCACGAUUGACCCUUAUUUUCAAUCUGAGAAGGGCGGCCGUGUCAGUCGGCCUAACCCUAUGCAGCCGGGAGGAUGUGCUUCACCUGUCAGGUAAUGUCUGUGCUAAGGAUGUAGACUGUGCAGUUAUAUAUCUGUCAAAUACAACUAGCUCUCCGCUUUGAAAUGUUGGAACACCCACUCCAGUCCAGUGUUUGACAUGUCAAAUUAUAAAACUUCCUUGCACAUACAUUAAAACACCUUACCCCCUAUUUCAAAACAGCAGUCAAUACAUUUCAAAGAAGCUUGUUUCAUAACAAUAAUAAUAAUAAUAAAUGAUAAUAAUAAUAAAAUACAAAUCGACUUGGAGCAUAAAUUAAAAAAAAAAAAAAAGACAAACUGAAAGUACAUUACUGCAGCAUAUAUUUCAGGGUUGCUUGGUUGUGAUGUUAACUACCUUAACUACAACAGCUCCACUUCUGCCAAGUUCAUAUCUGUAUAGGACAAGUAUGUCAGGGUGAUAAUAAAAUAGCAAGCUAAGGGAGGCAACAAGCCUAACAAAAUAUACACAUAUUCAUAAGCACAUCUCAUAGUUCAACCCAAGUGCAUCUUUACAAAAGCAUCUACAUACAAGAUAUGGCAGCAAAAAGCUCAAAAAGUCAGAUGACAAAAACCUACGCCUCGGUACACCAAAGGCCCCUCAUUUCAGUUACGCUUCAGCGUCAACAAAUCCUGGGGUUGUGUUUAAGAAACGCUAUCUUUACUCCAGGUUAUGCAACAUGGCCCAAAUCAAUCAGAUUUCAUAUUUUGAAAGAAACCAGAUGAAAAUUAUACAACAAAUUGUUCGACAUUUCCCCCUUUUACGUCUGCAAAAUGUCCAGAUGAGUUGCCAGUUUGCUUACAUUCUGCUUGCAGAGGAUGUACUGAUGUUAGAAAAAUAUAUCGUCUUGUCAUCACUUUUCACAAAUUAUACUGUAUGGUCACAUUUUUUUUUGGACCACAUAAUGGCAAUAAUGAAAUUCAACUUGCAGUUUGGUUUUAAUUUCCUUUUCCUUCCAAAUCCUAUUACUGUGAUCGAUCGUCAAACAGUGGCUGGCUCUGAUUUGUUUGUUUUUGUUUUUCUCGCUGAAUAGCGGCUCUAAAGACGAGCGCCUCAGCUAAGUUCCCACCGUCAAAUGGUUGAGACUUAAAAGUUGUGUGUUAUUAUUGUUAUUAUUAUUAUUAUUAUUAUUCUCUUUUUUUGGCUUGAUAAACAAACUACAGGUAUGUGCAAACUUCACAUCUUGGUCCAUCUCAAGUAUGAAUUGAUCAAUUUAUUCUAGGUGGUGAUGCACUACUCUGGUGGAUUUACAUUUGCAGGGAUCAGUGAGAUAGAUGAGAACGGUUAAAGAUGAAAAGUUUGAUAACAAACAAUUAGAGUCAAACAAAGACAAACUAAUUGAAGAGAGCCUAUUGUGUCAUGCACAACAUAUCACUCCAUUUGCUAAGAGUACGCAUAGCAAACAUAACCAAUGCUUUGUCAGAGGACCGAUGCAACAUUUACAAUCGUGUACAUGAUUUCCCAUGCGAUAGUUCAUAUCACAGCUACCGUGUCAAAUCAACCUUGUUUUUUUGUUUUUUUUGUUUUUUUGUUGUUGCAUAUCUUAUAAAAAAAAAAGCUAUUUUGGUCUAACAAAUAUGCAUUAACAAAACCACAAAACUACAAACAACCAAUAGUGAGCAAGUGAUAAAACAUAGAUGCAUUUUUUUUUUUAAAAAAAGCACCCAGUUAUAAGAACAAGCAAAACAAACAAGACAAAAAAGAAAAAAAAAAGAAAAAAAAAUUAAGAAUCUUGCCAGAUUAUAGGAAUCCACACCUUGGUAACCAUAUACACUUAGAAAAGAAAUGUUUCCAGGUAAAAGUCAAACACCUAAACCUAACGUAUCUUACCAUUCUUUGGUACGUAUGAAAAACAAACGUGAUCUAAUACAGGUAUUUCCAUUUGUCCUGAUUAGCAUGGCCCCAUGUUACAAACUCAAUCAUCACCGCCGCCGCCGCCACCGCCGCCCUUUUGGAAACACUACAGUGCUAAAUGUUGUGAUGGGAGUCUGCACGCCUACCGUGGCUGACUACACGAUGGCUGAGACAGCAGCCGAGCAUCACGGAUGGGACAGAGAGAUCUAUAGUGCUACGCCCCAGGGGAGACACGGAGAGAGAGAUAGACAGAGAUAGACAGAGAGAGAGAGAGAGAGAGAGCAACAUCCAUCUGAGAAGAGGGAACGACAACAGCAACUGGGGAUGCUGUCUCAAACUGAUCAGCGUAAGCGCGAACUGUUCCUUUCAGCGUGUGAAUUUCAUGACUUUGUGACAAAAGUUUGGGUUUACCGAGUGUAUCGAGGUGAAAGCGUGGCGAAAACCUCGGGGAUCCGAUUCAGAGAUACAGGUUUUAGGGUGUUGUUGGCGGAGCCUACAUGUGUACGGUGGCUGGGGCAGUGUUUCAGACUAUGGGUUCAAAAUACCCAACCGAUCUCUGCAAAAGCGUUCCGAGUGUUGAAACUCGUACUCAAUUUUAAGCUAGUUAAGUGUGGAAAAUGAAUACCAGACUAGGUAUUGGAAUGUUCUGGACGUUACAGGAAUGCAUAUUUUAGGUAUGCUGCACAUUUUAGAAGGAAGCAUAAAGCUGGAGUAGUCCAAAGACUAUCACAACUGAACACAAGUCAGGCUCAAUGUUUAGUCUUUGGUGGCUAAAUCAUAUCCAUCCUCCUCAUCUUUAUGAUAAAAAAAUAAUGUACUGAGUAUGUGUACGCCUCUUACUGAAUGGGCACUGAAAAUAUAGUUUGUGCACCAUCAAAAGCAAAAAAAAAAAAUCCUGUUAGCAAAGCUGUUUAAAAAUGACUGCAUACGUAAUUCAAACUGAUGCGCUAAUCUAGCCUGUCAAUAAAAUAAAGCUCCACUAUUACUCGCUAUGUUCAAAUACUCUGGUUUCUUAGUGGCUCUGAUGUCUGUUUCCGUAUUAAAGUCAACUAAAAAGGCAAAUGCACAUAUGGAGAAAGUACCAUAGUGAAUAUAAAGUAGAUGUUAUAGAUAGCUUAGCGGUGCACUACUCUGGACUAGUGCUUUUUGGGUGUGUUAUGGCAGAAAUGAUAAAAUAUUAUAGAUGGCUUUAACUGUAUGUCACUUUAAAAUAUGAAUAAAUGUCUUUUUUGUAGUAGGAUGACAGGGACUAGCGAUAUCACAUUGCCUAUUUUAAUGCUUUAUCCUAACAUUAAAAUGUAUAUGAAACUAAAUCUGCUUUAAAAUGUUAUUUUACCAUCAGCUGUUAGUCAUAGCUAUUUUCUCCUAUCUAUUUAUUGAAAUACUCUAUAUUACAGAGGAUUUAAAGAGUCAAAAUAAAAGGCAAUCACUAUGUUUUCAGACUUUUUUUCUUUCAUUUAAUCCUGCUAUUCACCUCUCAAGUGAGGCGGGGCUGUUUAAUAUUUGGUGCACCAAAACUAGGGGUUAACUUGCUAAAUUUGCAGUUUUUGGCCCACAUUGCUUCACUGCACCGAAUGACCUUGACAGUUUUUUUUACCCCCUAUCCGCUCAGCCAAAGUCCUGGCUCAUGACACUUGGGUAUCGUUCCAUUUUCAUAUUUAUUUGACACACUAGUCCAAGUUGUACUAACGUCUGUGCCUAUAACAAGACUCGAAUGCCAAAUAAUGAGGCUCGCGCUAUGUUUUAGCGUAUCAGUCAUUAAAAUUUUCUUUUUUUCUUUUUUUUUUUUGGCUCGUAAUGAUGAAUUUUACAACAUCAAUUACAGGUCAUUGUAAUACCCCCCGAGCUCAAGGAAUGCCCCCCCAUGGGAAAAUGUUGGCACUUUUCCCAUUAACGUACCUCACCAACAGGCAUUCCUAAUUCCUACAAGGUUUUAUUUUCACAUUGAUAGGAAGCCAAAAUAUAAGAAAUAUUAGAAAGAUCAUCUGUGGUGCAUUGGCACUGUUCUUAGAGAUUAGAGUUAUGUGAUCUAAGUGGCGUUGCCUAUGACAGACCAUGAGUUAUACAUUGCACAGAAACAUCCGGAAAACAGCGUUUGUCAUCUUACUUCAUGGCAAACACUGAUCUUAAUUCAUAACACCAAGGCAAAUACUUUCAUAAACGUACACUUGUGUCAUUUCAAACUUUUCAGGUCAGAGCCAGAGAUAAAGGAUUCAGUUUUAUCCUGGGCUGGACAUUGCUUGGGUGUAGUUAGUAAGGGGAGAUUGGAGGAGCAGCUUAAGCCUGUUGAAGUGUGGCUCCCUCUAGUGUUCAUUGUGUUAAUUACACGGCCUCGCUCAUUCCUCCUGAUUCCCAUAGAACUUGAACUGAAAAUACAAAUUGCAAUUGUAAUACUGCCAGAGGGGCAAUGACAAGGAGCUUUGUGACACAGAAAAUUCACUAUUUCACUUUAAAAGAUUAAUUCUAGUUCACUUUUACCAUUUCCCAUUGUGAGUGGAUUUUUUUUCCAGUUAAACCUCAAUAGUCUUUUGGGGCCAAAUCAUGCCUAGUAUACGUAAAAGAAUAACAGCACCAGACAGCUGAUAGUGAUUGCAUUUUGAUGUUUUUGAAUCCUCCAUAAUCUAUGGAAUGCAGCAAAAAUAAAAACUGCAGAUGUAACUUUUAUAUGAAUAGAAAGUUUCAGGCUUUUUAAAGGGCUCUGUUACAAUGCUGUCACGGCUUAACUUUGUAUUUAGUAAUAGUUGCAUAAAUAGCAUAUUUUUGAUAGACCAUUGUGUAUAUACUGUAUAUGUGCACUGUAGGAGAGAAAAACUAUGAAUAUACUGUAUACUUAUGAUAUUUACUAAUAGGCACUUGAUAGGCAUAUUCCCUAUAUCCCAAAAGGUAUAUUUUAGCUGCAUUUAUUUCUUCAUCAAACUAUUUGAAAAUGUAUUUCAAUUUGUGUGGAGAUGGUGACUCUUACAUACAUAUUUCUAUAUAUAUAUAUAUAUAUAUAUAUAGCAUAUUUAUAAGAAGUUAGUAGUUAUUUCACUCUGACGUGUACUGUAGUAGGACAGAAGAAAUGCAGUUAACUGUUUAUCUGAACGGUUUUGUGUUGUCUGCAGUUACUCUUCUUUGUGACUUAGUUCAUGCUUAAAUAAAAAUCUGACUUUGAUGCAUCGUGAAAAAGAGAAACGGUAGCUG